UACGGGGGGAGCAAGCGUUGUUCGGAUUUACUGGGCGUAAAGGGCGCGUAGGCGGCCAGCACAAGUCAGUUGUGAAAUCUCCGAGCUUAACCCGGAACGGUCAACUGAUACUGUGCGGCUAGAGUGCAGAAGGGGCAACUGGAAUUCUUGGUGUAGCGGUGAAAUGCGUAGAUAUCAAGAGGAACACCUGCGGCGAAGGCGGGUUGCUGGGCUGACACUGACGCUGAGGCGCGAAAGCUAGGGGAGCGAACGGG
rnacentral:rRNA from 1 species